rnacentral:lncRNA from 1 species
GGCGAUCCAAAAAGUAGCGGAAUUUAAAAUUUCUCCUUUAUGAUCCUUACGAAUGGGCAUGAUCAGUGAUAGAAUCGUUACCUCUUAUGGCAAUUAUAACCUUUGAUGCAGAUCUACGGAGCGAUCACAAGUGUUGAACAAUGACAACGCCUCUAACUCAGUCCACAUGAACAGAUUCCUUCAAUCUCAGUGCUAGCUGCUACGAAUGAAGGCUUUGAGUGAGAGAGAGAGAGAGAGAGAGAGAGA